AUUGUAGGCUGAAACUCGCCUACAUGAAGCUGGAGUUACUAGUAAUCGCAGAUCAGAAUGCUGCGGUGAAUGCGUUCCCGGGUCUUGUAUACACCGCCCGUCACACCACGGAAGUUGGGGGCGCCCGAAGCCACUUAGCUAACCCUUUUGGGAAGCGAGUGUCGAAGGUGAAAUCAAUAACUGGGGUGAAGUCGUAACAAGGUACC
rnacentral:rRNA from 1 species